GAAUCCCUCUAAAUGCACAUGGAAAUCCAGUCUCUAAUGCUAACCAUCUAUCUCCUGUUCUCUCUCAGCACCCAUAGUAAAGUCACUAGCACAACUUCUCGACUGAAGAAAAUGUAACACAAAAGAGAUGGCCAUAUCUGUGCAUGCACACCACAUGCCACCAACAUUUAAAGGCACCAAACUGAUCCAGAUCAUAAAAGGCAAAUAAGACUCAAAUUGUCCUUUUGAUGCAAAAGAGGCCUGCAUAUACCUACACCCCAU